rnacentral:misc_RNA from 1 species
CCGAGUGAAGGGCUCCGGCCCGACCUCCAACCCUUUGUUGACCUCACCUGUUGCCUCGGGGGCGACCCGGCGUCGGACGCCGACGCCCCCGGUGGACCACUCCAACUCGUGUCUGUACGUCGGAGUAAUAAGCAAAUCAAUCA